AAGUUGAAAUUUCCCUUAAACUCAACCUCAUAACGUACCAAAAGUCUGAAUUAUGUCAUUGUACAUACAGUACAUUGGAGAGACUGACAUUUAAGUAAUGUAGUCAGUUUAUUACCUUGUAAAUUAAAAUAGUGGCUGGUGGGGGUCUACUUUGAGAGUGGGUCCACAGAGAUUGAAGUGAGAUGAGUGGAGGCCCCACACACCCCUGUGUCUGAUGUCACCCUGUCCCAAUCCCUCAGACCCUCCACUUUCACCAAUAACCACCAUUGAAUCUUAGCUAGAAUGACAAGGAAUAAUGAUGAGGCAUCCUUUCCUAAUCUAUCCAGAACUCCUUAAUUUCACAGCAGGUUUGUAAAUCCAAAAUAAAAUUAGGUAGUUUCGUUAAAUCCGUCCUUCCCAAGUCUAACCCAUCUCUCGCCACCUCCCAGUUCUCUCCUUUUACCCCACCAAGCUUAUCCCAACCUUACAUCCACUUACUCAUUCUCUCCCAACAUAUACCUUAUGCAUCCACAGCCGCUCCUACACCUGUAUUCACCAUCCAAUUCUUAUACAUAAACACACAACUGUUGACAUGCAUGCAAUAUGUUCCCCUUUGAAAUGUAUUUUCAGUGUCCAUGUAGCCCAUUGUCAUCGGCUACUUCUACUGAUAAGUCAGAGAAGUUAUUUGGAGAAAGUAGGGUAGAUUUAUUUUGGGGGAGAGGGAAAGGAUAUUGUCUCAAUUUACAAUAAACUGGUCUUAAGAGUCACUGUAGCCUAGUGCACUCGUUGCUUUUUCCUACUUCGUCCUUUCCUCAGAGCACUGGGAAGGUUUCUUGUAGCUGGAUUAGGGCUUCAUCGGCACUUGUGAAUUCCAUUUUUGCGUUGUUCCCUUCAAUACCUACAGCAAUGCCGGGAACCGGAACAGAGUCUUGAUCCCCUUUUCCUUCAGUGACUGAUCAGAAUAUAUUCCUUGCGUCCCUCUCAGCCUAGGAGAAGUCAUGGACGACUCAAAUAGGAGGAUUAACUCAUGGAUACCAUUUUUAGAUCUCUGCGUGCAUUUUGAAGGAAGUGUAAGGUAGAGACGCCUGUUAGCAAUUGCGCAAACGCUAGCUGGCAACUUAAAAUUGCACGCAGAGCCAUACAAUUUUUUUUUGAAAAUGGUAUCAAUUAAUCUGACUCUGGUGCUGCAAGAAAUGACCAAGUCCACCAUCAUGACUACCAAUCCUGCCUGGAGAACAGUAUUGGAUGGACCACCGCCACACCGUUCACCAAGAAGUAAAGAAUGGAGUCGAGUGAAACACCAGCCUCCCCUGGCUGAGGUGAAACACCAGCCUCCCCUGGCUGAGGUGGAACACCAGCCUCCCCUGGCUGAGGUGGAACACCAGCCUCCCCUGGCUGAGGUGGAACACCAGCCUCCCCUGACUGAGGUGGAACACCAGCCUCCCCUGGCUGAGGUGGAACACCUAGCUGCUAUAGUGGCAAAAUUACAAACUCUUAUGCAGAUCAUUUGUAUAAACCUUACACCUGUCAAUUUCCACUGUCUGUUUCUCUCAUGUAAGAAGAAGCCUGUGUCCCCCCCCUCUUGUUUCUGAGUAACUUACUGUAAUCACCUGGCCAAAGACAAAGGGCUGUCAGAGUGACCAGUUAUUUGGUCCAUCCUGUUGCUUUCCUAUCUUUCAAGGGCACAGCUGUGGAGAUAUGAAGAGAAAAGGCUAGUUUGAGCAGCAGAAACAAUUCCAUCAGCAGAAAGGAGCAACUAAACUGCCAUUAUCACUUGUUUCUAUGCUCCCACUAUGACCUCACACACCUGCUAAACUGCCACAGACAAAAAGAGACCCAACUCUUGUUUGUUGGGCUCUUCACUGUUGCACCUGUCAUGUGAUUGUUAACCAGCUCCAUUUUUGCAAAUCUUAUAAUAAAAUAAGUUGGA
rnacentral:lncRNA from 1 species